rnacentral:pre_miRNA from 1 species
AGCCAGCGUAGACUGGCCUGCCUCAGCUGCUCUGGGCAAGUGUGGCUUAGAGCGGCUCACUCUCAAUGACUCGGCAG